rnacentral:tRNA from 1 species
UGUGAAAGAGUAUAAUGGAAAGAACACUGGUUUUGGAAACCAGAAACCUGGGUUUAAAUCUCAGCUCUACAA